GCCUUGAAUUAUGACACGGAGGGCACAAAAAGAGAGAAACGAUACCUUGCAGCUUCAUUCACAAGACCUGACCGCUGAAGACGACUGACUGGCAGUGGAAAACGAACCUAAAAGAAAACAAUAAUGAACGUUCGAGCUUCUAUUCUCUUGUUAUUGGUGGUUGCACUCGCCUUAGCGAGAGCGGCCGAUAUAUCACGUUGUGAACGCGAAGGCGAAGAUGAGUGCAAAUGUGAAAAGUACUACGAAGGAAUUCCAGGACAGGGUUGCUCAGAAGGUCGCCAUAAUUGC